CCUCUUUUCAUCCGUUCCUUACAUUAUUUUUUUUCAUUUUCUGCUGACAGUUAACUUCGCAUCUUGUUUUUGGUUGGAUUGGUUUGUUUUGCUGCCAAUUCUAGCUCGUGAUUGUGGUGCUCUUCCGCUGAGCUGUUGUCCGAGUUGCUGCGUUUCCAUUUCAUUAAUCUCUAGUUUGUUUUGCUGGAGUGUUUGCCCAACCAGAUUUCCAGGAACUGUCUUUUUCCCAUGGCCUUGAGCACCCAAAGAGCCUCUACAUCUCGUACUUCAGCUGAAUGGGCUCCUCCCCAUUGGAAGCAUGAU